rnacentral:rRNA from 1 species
UAAUGAGGGAAGGAAAAGAAACUAACUAGGAUUUUCUUAGUAGCGGCGAGCGAAAAGAAAUCAAGUUCAGCACUGAGUUAUUUUGUUAUAUUAACAAAUAUAAGAUGCAGUGUAUGGAAUAUCUAUAAUCUAGUAUGAAAUUAACAGUCCAAGUCCUUCUUGAACGAGGCCAGUUACCCAUAGAGGGUGCCAGGCCCGUAGUGACGUUAAUAAUUACUAGAAGAUAUUUCUUAAGAGUCGUGUUGCUUGAUAGUGCAGCACUAAUUUGGUGGUAAACUCCAUCUAAAACUAAAUAUGACCAUGAGACCGAUAGCAAACAAGUACCGUGAGGGAAAGUUGAAAAGAACUCUGAAUAGAGAGUUAAAUAGUACGUGAAACUGCUUAGAGGUUAAGCCCGAUGAACCUGAAUAUCCAAUAUGAAAAAUUCAUCAUUAAAAAUAUAUUAAUAUUAUUUAAUAUAUAUAUAAUGUGCAUUUUUUUCAUAUAAGGACAUUGUAAUCUGUUAAUAUAAAAUUUAUCAUAAGUACCGUACGAAUUAGUUUAUAUGUUAUUAUUAAAAAAUUUUUUUUUUAUAAUAUAUAUAAAAUUCAAUAGCGGUUACAGAUAAAUUAUUGACAGAUUUUUAUAUAUAACGCUUACAUAUCUUUAUAUGUUAUAAUAAAAUAAUAAUCAUGUAUUAUUAUUUUUAUUAUAUGCGUUUAUAUGAUUAACAAUGCUAUAGAUUUAGGAUACCUUCGGGACCCGUCUUGAAACACGGACCAAGGAGUCUAACAUGUGUGCAAGCCAUUGGGUUUUUAAAACCUAAAGGCGUAAUUAACUUAACUGUUAUUUUAAUAUGGGAUUAAUAUAUAUAUAUUUAUUUAUAUAUAUAAUCCAUCCCGGGGCGUUCUAUAUAGUUAUGCAUUUUAAUAUAUACCUAUAUAUAUUAUAUAUGCCUCUAACUAGAGCGUACCUUUAGUAUAUAUGUUGUGACCCGAAAGAUGGUGAACUAUACCUGAUCAGGUUGAAGUCAGGGGAAACCCUGAUGGAAGACCGAAACAGUUCUGACGUGCAAAUCGAUUGUCAGAAUUGGGUAUAGCGGCGAAAGACCAAUCGAACCAUCUAGUAGCUGGUUCCCUCCGAAGUUUCCCUCAGGAUAGCUGGUGCAUUUAAAUAUUAUGUAAAAUAAUCUUAUCUGGUAAAGCGAAUGAUUAGAGGCAUUAGGGCCGAAACGACCUUAACCUAUUCUCAAACUUUAAAUGAGUAAGAACCUAACCUUUCUUGAUAUGAAGGUUAGUUAUGAUAUAUUGUGCCAGUGGGCCACUUUUGGUAAGCAGAACUGGCGCUGUGGGAUGAACCAAACGUGAUGUUACGGCGCCUAAAUUAACAACUCAUACUGAUACCAUGAAAGGCGUUGCUUGCUUAAAACAGCAGGACGGUGGACAUGGAAGUCGUAAUCCGCUAAGGAGUGUGUAACAACUCACCUGCCGAAGCAACUAGCCCUUAAAAUGGAUGGCGCUCAAGUUGUAUGCCUAUACAUCACCGCUAAAAUAUAUGAUUUAUAAAAAUUUUAUUUUUAUAAAUUUUGAAACUUUAGUGAGUAGGAGGGUACAAUGGUGUGCGUAGAAGUGUUUGGCGUAAGCCUGCAUGGAGCCGCCAUUGGUACAGAUCUUGGUGGUAGUAGCAAAUAAUCGAAUGAGACCUUGGAGGACUGAAGUGGAGAAGGGUUUCGUGUGAACAGUGGUUGAUCACGAGUUAGUCGGUCCUAAGUUCAAGGCGAAAGCCGAAAAAUUUUAAGUUAUAUAUUUAUAAUAUAAUAAUAAUAUACUUAUAAUUUUGAACGAAAGGGAAUACGGUUCCAAUUCCGUAACCUGUUGAGUAUACGUUUGUUAUUAAAAAUGGGCUUUUAUGCUCAUCCUGGUAACAGAAACAACCAUAAAGAAGCCGUCGAGAAAUAUCGAAAGAGUUUUCUUUUCUGUUUCAUAGUCGUACUACCAUGGAAGUCUUUCGAAGAGAGAUAUGGUAGAUGGACUAGAAGAGCAUGGCAUUUACUGCUGUGUCGAUAUUUUCUCCUCGGACCUUGAAAAUUUAUGGUGGGGUCACGCAAACUUCUUAACAGGCCGUACCGAUAUCCGCAGCUGGUCUCCAAGGUGAAGAGUCUCUAGUCGAUAGAAUA